rnacentral:ncRNA from 1 species
GUGCCGAAAGUGCAAACCGGCUGAAAGGCCGGAACACAAAGCCACGAGUCUAAAUCCCGAUGUUUGGGGACAGGACAGCGGGCCACCGAA